rnacentral:rRNA from 1 species
UGGGGAAUAUUGCACAAUGGGCGAAAGCCUGAUGCAGCAACGCCGCGUGAGUGAUGAAGGCCUUCGGGUUGUAAAGCUCUGUCUUUGGGGACGAUAAUGACGGUACCCAAGGAGGAAGCCACGGCUAACUACGUGCCAGCAGCCGCGGUAAUACGUAGGUGGCAAGCGUUGUCCGGAUUUACUGGGCGUAAAGGGUGCGUAGGUGGAUAUUUAAGUCAGAUGUGAAACCCCCAGGCUCAACCUGGGAACUGCAUUUGAAACUGGAUAUCUGGAGUGCAGGAGAGGUAAGUGGAAUUCCUAGUGUAGCGGUGAAAUGCGUAGAGAUUAGGAAGAACACCAGUGGCGAAGGCGACUUACUGGACUGUAACUGACACUGAGGCACGAAAGCGUGGGUAGCAAACA